UGGGGAUGAAGAAUGAAGUCGGGUAUGGGGAUGGUAAUUUAAUCCCCUUACCCUACCCUCCCCAUUGCCAUCCCUAAAUGGGAGGACACCAGCCUUGUCACUCCCACCCUCGGCUUCAACAUCAACACCCUCACUUACCAAAAGUAUACACUAAUAUAUGGGAUGUGGGGGGUCAAAAUACAAUACCAUCUUAUUGUGGAGAAACUAUUUUGAACAAACUGAUGGUCGUGUAUACAGUUCAGAUCUUAGAAGAUUAGAUGGCUGUAAAUUGGAGCUCCAUAAUCUUUUAAAGGAGAGAGGUUAUCAGGAUCGUCCUUAUUGAUACUGGCAAAUAAGCAGGACAUAAAAGGUGCCCUUACUCUAGAAGAGAUUUCCAAGGUUUUGAACUUGGAGGCUAUGGAUAAAACUCGACACUGGAAUAUUGUUGGCUGCAGUGCAUACACGGGUGAGGGACUGCUUGAGGGAUUUGAUUGGUUGGUCCAAGAUAUUGCCUCUUUGGAUCUAUGUGGUUGACUAGUGCCUGGUCUCAGUAAUUCUGAUUUUGGUAGUGUGUUGAGUGACUUUGAGUCAUCUUUCAGUGAACACUGGACAAUCAGCCACUAGCAUAUAUGGUAGUUAACUUUCCAGUUUGUGUUACAGUAGUGUGGGUGUGUGUAUGUGUCCGUGUCUUUACACAUAAUGAGUCGUUUCAGGAACGGGCUCAACUGUGAGACUCAUUAUUGACUGAAAAUUGCAACUUUGUACCAUUUUGAAGUUCAAAAUUUGAGUAGAAUCAGCAUUUAUUCUUUUC